rnacentral:rRNA from 1 species
GACGAACGCUGGCGGCGUGCUUAACACAUGCAAGUCGAACGGAAAGGCCCGGCUUUUGGGGGGUGCUCGAGUGGCGAACGGGUGAGUAACACGUGAGUAACCUGCCACUGACUUAGGGAUAACUUCAGGAAAGUGGGGCUAAUACCGGAUAGGAGCUCUUGCUGCAUGGUGGGGGUUGGUAAGUUUCGGCGGUUGGGGAUGGACUCGCGGCUUAUCAGAUUGUUGGUGGGGUAGUGGCUUACCAAGGCUUUGACGGGUAGCCGGCCUGAGAGGGUGACCGGACACAUUGGGACUGAGAUACGGCACAGACUCCUACCGUACGGAGCGGUGCAGAAGAUUGCACAGUGGGCUGAAGCCUGAUGCAGCACCGCCGCGUGCGGGAUGACGGCCUUCGCGUUGUAUACCACUUUCGCCUUUGACGAAACGUGAGUGACAGUAAUGGGUAAAGAAGCACCGGCUAACUACGUG